AUAGGGGUGAAAGUCCAAUCGAGAUGGGCAAUAGCAGGUUCCGCGCGAGACUACUCGUAGGUAGAUCUCCGUUGAGAUAGAUUGUGAUGUAGAGCACUGAUUGGGUAUUUAGGGGGAGCGAUCCCUCGGUACGCUGUCAAACUCCAAAGUUGCAAUCGUCGUAGACGCGGGGAGUGAGCCACGGUGGGUAAGCUACCGUGACGAAAGGUGAAUAAACCAGCUCAGCGUUAAGGUCCCAAAGUUCCAGUUAAGUGUUAAUGACAAACCGUGUCCGUGGUCGAAGACAACCAGAAGGUGGGCUUAGAGGCAGCCAUCCUUGAAAGAGUUCGUAACAGAUCACUGGUCAAGCUUGCGGGCCGGGAAAAUGGACGGGACUCAAACUGGACACCGAUACGCUGAACCUCCGAAAGGAGAUGUGGUAGCGCGGCGAUGUGCUCGGGCAGAAGCGAGGUUGUGAAAUCUCGUGGACCGUGUACAUAUGAGAAUCUAGGGAAGAGUAGCAGCAUAGAGUGGUGAGAAUCCGCUCCACCGAAGGGGCCAGGGUUCCUCGGCAAUGAUCAUCAGCCGAGGGUUAGCCGGUCCUAAGGACAUCCUUAACCGAGAUGUUCGAAAGGGAAAUGCGUUAAUAUUCGUAUGCCCCUCUGCAAUAAUGGUAACGGCUUGGGCUAGUUCUACCGUUCCUGUCGGGACGGCGAAGCGUAAUAAUCGAUCGGAGAACCGUCAUGGUGAGAAAAUCGAGAAGACGUGAGCAAAAGAUGAAUGAGGCCUAGGUCCCAUGAAAAACCGCAGAGGUGACCGUACCGAGAACUGACACAGGUGCCCCUGGGUGAGUAGCCUAAGGUGUGACGGGCAAAGUACCGCGAAGGAACUCGGCAAAAUCGCUCUGUAACUUCGGGAGAAGGAGUGCCAGCUUAGAGAUAAGCUGGUCGCAGUAACAAGGGGACUCCGACUGUUUAAUAAAAACAUAGCCGACUGCUAGAUCGAAAGGUUGUGUAUAGUCGGUGAAUCCUGCUCAGUGCCGGUAUCUGAAAUCGGGUUUCAACCUGAUGAAGGACCGGUAAACAGCGGGGGUAACUAUGACCCUCUUAAGGUAGCGUAAUACCUUGUCGCUUAAUUGGCGACUUGCAUGAAUGGCACAACGAGAGUCCCACUGUCUCCGCGGUACGUCCGGCGAAAUUGACUAUUACUGGCGCACAGUCCAGUAACCUCAACCUGCAAGCGAAGACCCCAUAGAGCUUUACUGCAGCCUGGCGUUGUGUAUUCGCGCACCUUGUGCUGAGUAGACGGGAGAUGUUGAUCCUUGGGACGUCAGUCCCGAGAGUAGUCGUCUAUAGAGACACCGUCCUUGGUGCGUGAAUAUACUAACUCUUCAUGAGAACACCGCUUGGUGGGCAGUUUGGGUGGGGCGCCACGCGCCCGAAAAUCUAACAGGCGUGCCCAAAGGUCAGCUUAGGUGGUUCAGUCUCCACCGUAAACCGUAAGGGGAAAAGCUGGCUUGACGUGGAUCGGACCAAUAACGAUCGACGAUGCGAAAGCAGGGCCUAACGAACCAAUGUGCCUCAUUUCUGGGGGCCAUUGAUAACAGAAAAGUUACCUUGGGGAUAAUUGAGUUGUCACCAGCAAGAGCACAUAUCGACCUGGUGGCUUGCUACUUCGAUGUCGUCUCUUCCCAACCUCCCGGUGCAGCAGCUGGGAAGGGUGGGGUUGUUCGCCCAUUAAAGGGGAUCGUGAGAUGGGUUUAGACCGUCGUGAGACAGGUUUGUUGCUUUGUGGUUGAGGCGUAUCAGGUGCCUGAUCGGAAGGGCCCUUUAGUACGAGAGGAACGAGGGCUCGGAGCCACUAGUUUACCAGUUGUCUGACAAGGCAAUGCUGGGUAGCCACGCUCCAUGCGGAUAAGAGCUGAAAGCAUCUAAGCUCGAAGUCGCCCGAAAGACGAGGCACCUCAGGGGACUCGUAAAAGACGAGAUUGAUAGACAGCGGGUGUAAGUACCGAGGUUUCGACCGAGGUAUUCAGCCCAGCUGCACUAAUCCCCCGAGCAUCAAGAA
rnacentral:rRNA from 1 species